rnacentral:rRNA from 1 species
CUUUCUUUGCUGGCGACCGGCGCACGGGUGAGUAACACGUAUCCAACCUGCCCUUUACUCGGGGAUAGCCUUUCGAAAGAAAGAUUAAUACCCGAUAGCAUAAUGAUUCCGCAUGGUUUCAUUAUUAGAGGAUUCCGGUAAAGGAUGGGGAUGCGUUCCAUUAGGUUGUUGGUGAGGUAACGGCCCACCAAGCCUUCGAUGGAUAGGGGUUCUGAGAGGAAGGUCCCCCACAUUGGAACUGAGACACGGUCCAA